UGAUGAAGGCCUUAGGGUUGUAAAGCUCUUUCACCCACGACGAUAGUGACGGUAGUGGGAGAAGAAGCCCCGGCUAACUUCGUGC
rnacentral:rRNA from 1 species